rnacentral:rRNA from 1 species
GACGAACGCUGGCGGCGUGCUUAACACAUGCAAGUCGAACGGAAAGGCCCUGCUUUUGUGGGGUGCUCGAGUGGCGAACGGGUGAGUAACACGUGAGUAACCUGCCCUUGACUUUGGGAUAACUUCAGGAAACUGGGGCUAAUACCGGAUAGGAGCUCCUGCUGCAUGGUGGGGGUUGGAAAGUUUCGGCGGUUGGGGAUGGACUCGGGGCUUAUCAGCUUGUUGGUGGGGUAGUGGCUGACCAAGGCUUUGACGGGUAGCCGGCCUGAGAGGGUGACCGGCCACAUUGGGACUGAGAUACGGCCCAGACUCCUACGGGAGGCAGCAGUGGGGAAUAUUGCACAAUGGGCGGAAGCCUGAUGCAGCAGCGCCGCGUGCGGGAUGACGGCCUUCGGGUUGUAAACCGCUUUCGCCUGUGACGAAGCGUGAGUGACGGUAAUGGGUAAAGAAGCACCGGCUAACUACGUG